UGGGGAAUAUUGCACAAUGGGCGAAAGCCUGAUGCAGCAACGCCGCGUGAGUGAUGAAGGUCUUCGGAUUGUAAAGCUCUGUCUUUUGGGACGAUAAUGACGGUACCAAAGGAGGAAGCCACGGCUAACUACGUGCCAGCAGCCGCGGUAAUACGUAGGUGGCGAGCGUUGUCCGGAUUUACUGGGCGUAAAGGGUGCGUAGGCGGAUGUUUAAGUGAGAUGUGAAAUACCCGGGCUUAACUUGGGUGCUGCAUUUCAAACUGGAUAUCUAGAGUGCAGGAGAGGAGAAUGGAAUUCCUAGUGUAGCGGUGAAAAUGCGUAGA
rnacentral:rRNA from 1 species